rnacentral:rRNA from 1 species
UACAGAGGAGCCAAGCGUUGUCCGGAUUGACUGGGCGUAAAGCGCACGCAGGCGGUCGCGCGCGUGGGGUGGGAAAUCUGGCCGCUUAGCGGCCAGGCGCCAUCCCAUACGGCGCGACUGGAGUGAUGCAGAGGUCGAUGGAAUUGCCGGUGUAGUGGUGAAAUGCGUAGAGAUCGGCAGGAACACCCAGGGGGAAACCAGUCGACUGGGCAUCUACUGACGCUGAGGUGCGAGAGCGUGGGGAGCGAACCGG